GAUCAGGUAGGGAUACCCGCUGAACUUAAGCAUAUCAAUAAGCGGAGG
rnacentral:rRNA from 1 species